rnacentral:snRNA from 1 species
GUGCUAACUUUGGCAGCAUAUAUACUAAAAUUGGAAUGAUACAGAAAAGAUUAGCA